GAAAGCGGUUGACCGGUACCAGAGCAUUUGGCUUCGAACCAAACGGCCGGGCGUUCGAAUCGCUCCGGGGUCACCA
rnacentral:tRNA from 1 species